UAUUUUAAUCUAUGUUCUGUGAAUGACAAGUGUUAUCUGUCAAGUGUCAAAAAACUUGAAAAACUUUUACGAAGUUUUUGAAUUAUGUUAAAUUUGUUUAUAAACACAAUGCCAAAGGCAAGAAUAAUUGCCCACGCCAGAUGGAGACCCAGCUAAAUAAUGUAGUAACAGCGCGUGGUCGUGUGAUGAGGGUUCCUUGACUUGAGUUCUGGCGCAACACGUCCUGGGUACUAAACAAGAUUGGGGAUGGGACGUCUAAAGAGGUGCAGGCCUGGAAAACGCUCUCGUCUUGCUCUACAGCACUUGCACUUGUCCCACCAUCUACCAGUGUUGGAACUCUUCCAAUAAUUACCCACACCCAGGUGGAGAAUACUCCAGUUGCUGCUACUGCUACUCUUAAAUAUGUAUGUUAAAUAAUGGAAUAUGAUAAUGUA